GUGCACCAGGCGCGAAACCUUCGCAAUGCGGGAAACCGCGACGAGGGGACUCCCAGUGCCUACGCUCAGCGUAGGCUGUUCCCGAGCCUAGAAAGCUCGGGGAGUAAGGGCUGGGUAAGACGGGUGCCAGCCGCCGCGGUAAUACCCGCAGCCCGAGUGGUGGCCACUAUUAUUGGGCCUAAAGCGUCCGUAGCCGGCCCGGUAAAUGCCUGGGUAAAUCGUGAGGCCUAACCUCACGAAUUCCGGGUAGACUGCCGGGCUAGGGACCGGAGGAGGGAGAGGGUACUCCAGGGGUAGGGGAGAAAUCCUGUAAUCCCUGGAGGACCACCGGUGGCGAAGGCGCUCUCCUAGGACGGGUCCGACGGUGAGGGACGAAAGCCAGGGGAGCGAACCGGAUUAGAUACCCGUGUAGU
rnacentral:rRNA from 1 species